UACGUAGGGGGCGAGCGUUGUCCGGAAUUAUUGGGCGUAAAGAGCGUGUAGGCGGUUCGGUAAGUCUGCCGUGAAAACCUGGGGCUCAACCCUGGGCGUGCGGUGGAUACUGCCGGGCUAGAGGGUGGUAGAGGCGAGUGGAAUUCCCGGUGUAGCGGUGAAAUGCGCAGAUAUCAGGAAGAACACCUAUGGCGAAGGCAGCUCUCUGGGACGGUACUGACGCUGAGACGCGAAAGCGUGGGGAGCGAACAGG
rnacentral:rRNA from 1 species